CCUACGGGUGGCAGCAGUGAGGAAUAUUGGUCAAUGGGCGCUAGCCUGAACCAGCCAAGUAGCGUGAGGGAUGAAUGCCCUAUGGGUUGUAGACUUCUUUUAUAUGGGAAUAAAGUGCCGGUUUUAUACUGCUUUGCGUGUACCUUAUGAAUAAGGAUCGGCUAACUCCGUGCCAGCAGCCGCGGUAAUACGGAGGAUCCGAGCGUUAUCCGGAUUUAUUGGGUUUAAAGGGAGCGUAGGCGGGGUGUUAAGUCAGUUGUGAACGUUUGCGGCGCAACCGUAAAAUUGCAGUUGAUACUGGCAUCCUUGAGUACAGUAGAGGUAGGCGGAAUUCGUGGUGUAGCGGUGAAAUGCUUAGAUAUGGCGAAGAACCCCGAUUGCGAAGGCAGCUUGCUGCAGCGGAACUGACGCUGAGGCUCGAAAGCGCGGGUAUCGAACAGGAUUAGAUACCCCUGUAGUC
rnacentral:rRNA from 1 species